rnacentral:rRNA from 1 species
AGUGAACGCUGGCGGUAGGCCUAACACAUGCAAGUCGAACGGCAGCACAGUAAGAGCUUGCUCUUACGGGUGGCGAGUGGCGGACGGGUGAGGAAUACAUCGGAAUCUACUUUUUCGUGGGGGAUAACGUAGGGAAACUUACGCUAAUACCGCAUACGACCUACGGGUGAAAGCAGGGGAUCUUCGGACCUUGCGCGAUUGAAUGAGCCGAUGUCGGAUUAGCUCGUUGGCGGGGUAAAGGCCCACCAAGGCGACGAUCCGUAGCUGGUCUGAGAGGAUGAUCAGCCACGCUGGAACUGAGACACGGUCCAGACUCCUACGCGAGGCAGCAGUGGGGAAUAUUGGACAAUGGGGGCAAGCCUGAUCCAGCCAUACCGCGUGGGUGAAGAAGGCCUUCGGGUUGUAAAGCCCUUUUGUUGGGAAAGAAAAGCAGCAGGUUAAUACCCCGCUGUUCUGACGGUACCCAAAGAAUAAGCACCGGCUAACUUCGUG